CGGAGGUCCCGAGCGUUGUUCGGAUUCACUGGGCGUAAAGGGUGCGUAGGUGGUGAGGUAAGUCGGAUGUGAAAUCUCCGGGCUCAACCCGGAAAUGGCAUUGGAAACUACCUUGCUGGAGGAUUUGAGGGGGGAUUGGAAUACUUGGUGUAGCAGUGAAAUGCGUAGAUAUCAAGUGGAACACCAGUGGCGAAGGCGAAUCCCUGGAAAAUACCUGACACUGAGGCACGAAAGCUAGGGGAGCAAACAGGAUUAGAUACCCUGGUAGUCCUAGCCCUAAACGGUGCUUGCUUGCUGUAAGAGGAAUCGACCCCUCUUGUGGCGGAGCUAACGCGUUAAGCAAGCCGCCUGGGAAGUACGGUCGCAAGAUUA
rnacentral:rRNA from 1 species